rnacentral:rRNA from 1 species
CUGCUAUCGGAUUGAUACUAAGCCAUGCGAGUCUUUGUAGUAAUACAAGGCAGACGGCUCAGUAACACGUAGUCAACCUACCCUAUGGACGAGAAUAAUCUCGGGAAACUGAGCAUAAUUCUUGAUAGAUCAUAAUGCCUGGAAUGGUUUAUGGUUAAAAUGAUUCGUCGCCAUAGGAUGGGACUGCGGCCUAUCAGCUUGUUGGUGAGGUAAUGGCCCACCAAGGCGAUUACAGGUACGGGCUCUGAGAGGAGAAGCCCGGAGAUGGGUACUGAGACACGGACCCAGGCCCUAUGGGGCGCAGCAGGCGAGAAAACUUUGCAAUGUGCGAAAGCACGACAAGGUUAAUCCGAGUGAUUUCUGCUAAAGAAAUCUUUUGCCAGUCGUAAAACCGCUGGUGAAUAAGGGGUGGGCAAGUUCUGGUGUCAGCCGCCGCGGUAAAACCAGCACCUCAAGUGGUCAGGAUGAUUAUUGGGCCUAAAGCAUCCGUAGCCUGCUUUGUAAGUUUUCGGUUAAAUCCACGUGCUCAACGCAUGGGCUGCCGAAAAUACUGCAUAGCUAGGGAGUGGGAGAGGUAGACGGUACUCAGUAGGUAGGGGUAAAAUCCUUUGAUCUAUUGAUGACCACCUGUGGCGAAGGCGGUCUACCAGAACACGUUCGACGGUGAGGGAUGAAAGCUGGGGGAGCAAACCGGAUUAGAUACCCGGGUAGUCCCAGCUGUAAACGAUGCAGACUCGAUGAUGCAUUGGCAUAAUAGCCAUUGCAGUG